AUUGAACGCUGGCGGAAUGCUUUACACAUGCAAGUCGAGCGGCAGCGCGGCCUUCGGGCUGGCGGCGAGCGGCGAACGGGUGAGUAAUGCAUCGGAACAUGCCCAGUCGUGGGGGAUAACACUUCGAAAGAAGUGCUAAUACCGCAUACGUCCUGAGGGGGAAAGCGGGGGAUCGCAAGACCUCGCGCGAUUGGAGUGGCCGAUGUCAGAUUAGCUAGUUGGUGGGGUAAAGGCCUACCAAGGCGACGAUCUGUAGCUGGUCUGAGAGGAUGAUCAGCCACACUGGGACUGAGACACGGCCCAGACUCCUACGGGAGGCAGCAUUGGGGAAUUUUGGACAAUGGGGGCAACCCUGAUCCAGCCAUUCCGCGUGAGUGAAGAAGGCCUUCGGGUUGUAAAGCUCUUUCGGCAGGAACGAAACGGUGGGCUCUAACAUAGUCCGCUAAUGACGGUACCUGAAGAAGAAGCACCGGCUAACUACGUG
rnacentral:rRNA from 1 species